rnacentral:rRNA from 1 species
UACGGGGGGGGCAAGCGUUAUCCGGAUUCACUGGGUUUAAAGGGUGCGUAGGCGGACAGGUAAGUCAGUGGUGAAAUCUCUGGGCUUAACCCAGAAACUGCCGUUGAUACUAUUUGUCUUGAAUAUCCUGGAGGUAGGCGGAAUAUGUCAUGUAGCGGUGAAAUGCUUAGAUAUGACAUAGAACACCGAUAGCGAGGGCAGCUUACUACAGGAUGAUUGACGCUGAGGCACGAAAGCGUGGGGAGCAAACAGG